rnacentral:rRNA from 1 species
AGAGUUUGAUCAUGGCUCAGAACGAACGCUGGCGGCAGGCCUCAAACAUGCAAGUCUAGGGGGUGUAGCAAUACAUCACCGGCGGACGGGUGCGUAACACGUGGGAAUGUACCUAUUGGUUCGGAACAACGCAGGGAAACUUGCGCUAAUACCGAAUGUGCCCUUCGGGGGAAAGAUUUAUCGCCAAUGGAUCAGCCCACGUUCGAUUAGCUAGUUGGUGAGGUAAUGGCUCACCAAGGCGACGAUCGAUAGCUGUUCUGAGAGGAAGAUCAGCCACACUGGGACUGAGACACGGCCCAGACUCCUACGGGAGGCAGCAGUUGGGAAUCUUGGACAAUGGGGGAAACCCUGAUCCAGCCAUGCCGCGUGAGUGAUGAAGGCCUUCGGGUUGUAAAACUCUUUCGACGGGGACGAUAAUGACGGUACCCGUAGAAGAAGCUCCGGCUAACUUCGUGCCAGCAGCCGCGGUAAUACGAAGGGGGCUAGCGUUGUUCGGAAUUACUGGGCGUAAAGCGCGCGCAGGCGGUUUUUCAAGUCAGUGGUGAAAGCCCGGAGCUCAACUCCGGAAAUGCCAUUGAAACUGUAAAACUUGAGGACGAGAGAGGUGAGUGGAAUUCCCAGUGUAGAGGUGAAAUUCGUAGAUAUUGGGAAGAACACCGGUGGCGAAGGCGGCUCACUGGCUCGUUUCUGACGCUCAGGCGCGAUAGCGUGGGGAUCAAACAGGAUUAGAUACCCUAGUAGUCC